GGUCGAUGAUGAUUGGUAAAAGGUCUGACUGCACCGGAUGUCACAGUCCCUUCCCUGCCCUCCACUCCCAGCAGCCCAUUUGCUUGUCCCACCACAUUUAAGUUGUGUGCGUGGGGUCAUGGAGCGGCUGAUAAUCAGGAUUCUGUCAGUGUGUGUUUCUGAGAGUGGACAGCUCACAGCUGACAACUGUCCAACAGAACCAGCUCCCAGGAGGCUGACGAGCGGCAGCCGUGGGCGUGAUGGUGCGUGAUCUCAAGUUUUCAAUCUGAGACC